rnacentral:rRNA from 1 species
CCCUUAGACGUUCUGGGCCGCACGCGCGCUACACUGACGGAGCCAACGAGUACUAUCCUUGGCCGAGAGGUCCGGGUAAUCUUGUGAAACUCCGUCGUGCUGGGGAUAGAGCAUUGCAAUUAUUGCUCUUCAACGAGGAAUGCCUAGUAGGCGCAAGUCAUCAGCUUGCGUCGAUUACGUCCCUGCCCUUUGUACACACCGCCCGUCGCUCCUACCGAUUGGGUGUGCUGGUGAAAUGUUCGGAUCGGCCGUUUGUCGCGGUUUCCGCGUCAUGUGGCUGAGAAGUUCAUUAAACCCUCCCACCUAGAGGAAGGAGAAGUCGUAACA